rnacentral:rRNA from 1 species
CAGUCGCCGCGGUAAUACGGAGGGCGCGAGCGUUACCCGGAUUUACUGGGCGUAAAGGGCGUGUAGGCGGCCUGGGGCGUCCCAUGUGAAAGGCCACGGCUCAACCGUGGAGGAGCGUGGGAUACGCUCAGGCUAGAGGGUGGGAGAGGGUGGUGGAAUUCCCGGAGUAGCGGUGAAAUGCGCAGAUACCGGGAGGAACGCCGAUGGCGAAGGCAGCCACCUGGUCCACUUCUGACGCUGAGGCGCGAAAGCAUGGGGAGCAAACCGGAUUAGAUACCCCAGUAGUCCCUGUCUCUUAUAC